GACGAACGCUGGCGGCGUGCCUAAUACAUGCAAGUCGAACGCAGUGGGGACGGGUGAGUAACACGUGGGUCACCUCCCAUCAGAGGGGAUAACACUUGGCAACAGGUGCUAAAACGAUACUGAUGGAUGGACCCGCGGUGCAUUAGCUAGUUGGUGAGGUAACGGCUCACCAAGGCACCGAUGCCUACCGGGCAUGAGAGGGUGAGCGGCCACACUGGGACUGAGACACGGCCCAGACUCCUACGGUAGGCAGCAGUAGGGAAUCUUCGGCAAUGGACGAAAGUCUGACCGAGCAACGCCGCGUGAGUGAAGAAGGUUUUCGGAUCGUAAAACUCUGUUGUUAGAGAAGCGGUAUCUAACCAGAAAGCCACGGCUAACUACGUGCCAGCAGCCGCGGUAAUUC
rnacentral:rRNA from 1 species